rnacentral:rRNA from 1 species
GAUUAACGCUGGCGGCGUGCAUAACACAUGCAAGUCGAACGAUGAAACUUAACUGAUUUCUUCGGAAUGAUUUUAAGUGGGGUAGUGGCGGACGGGGGAGUAACGCGUGAGUACACUGCCUUGGAGAAGGGGAUAGACUUUGGAAACGAAGAAUAAUACCCUAUGAUAUGAUAAUAUCUCAUGAUAUUAUCAUCAAAGAUUUAUCGCUCUAAGAUGGACUUGCGUCUGAUUAGUUAGUUGGGGAGGUAACAGGUCACCAAGGCAGGGAUCAGUACCCGGCGUGAGAGAGGGUACGGCCCCCUUGGGACUGAGACACGGCCCGGACUCUUACGGGAGGCGGCAGUGGGGAAUUUUGACCAAUGGGGGAAACCCGGAUGCGGCGCCGCCGGGUGAUUUAGAAGGCCUUCGGGUUGUAAAAAUCUUUUGUAUGGGAAGAAAAUGACAGUACCAUACGAAUAAGCACCGGCUAAUUACGUG